rnacentral:rRNA from 1 species
GAUGAACGCUGGCGGCGUGCCUAAUACAUGCAAGUCGAGCGAACGGACGAGAAGCUUGCUUCUCUGAUGUUAGCGGCGGACGGGUGAGUAACACGUGGAUAACCUACCUAUAAGACUGGGAUAACUUCGGGAAACCGGAGCUAAUACCGGAUGAUAUUUUGAACCGCAUGGUUCAAAAGUGAAAGACGGUCUUGCUGUCACUUAUAGAUGGAUCCGCGCUGCAUUAGCUAGUUGGUAAGGUAACGGCUUACCAAGGCAACGAGGCAUAGCCGACCUGAGAGGGGGAUCGGCCACACUGGAGCUGAGACACGGUCAUGGCUCCUGCGGGAGGCAGCAGUAGGGAAUCUUCCGCAGUGGGCGAAAACCUGACGGAGCAACGCCGCGUGAGUGAUGAAGGUCUUCGGAUCGUAAAACUCUGUUAUUAGGGAAGAACAUAUGUGUAAGUAACUGUGCACAUCUUGACGGUACCUAAUCAGAAAGCCACGGCUAACUACGUG